CCUACGGGAGGCAGCAGUGGGGAAUCUUGCGCAAUGGGCGAAAGCCUGACGCAGCAACGCCGCGUGCGGGAAGAAGGCUUUCGGGCUGUAAACCGCUUUCAGCAGGAACGAAAAUGACGGUACCUGCAGAAGAAGGAGCGGCCAACUAUGUGCCAGCAGCCGCGGUGAUACAUAGGCUUCAAGCGUUGUCCGGAUUUAUUGGGCGUAAAGAGUUCGUAGGCGGUCGAGUAAGUCGGGUGUGAAAAUUCUGGGCUCAACCCAGAGACGCCACCCGAUACUGCUUGACUUGAGUUCGAUAGGGGAGUGGGGAAUUCCUAGUGUAGCGGUGAAAUGCGCAGAUAUUAGGAGGAACACCGGUGGCGAAGGCGCCACUCUGGACCGAUACUGACGCUGAGGAACGAAAGCAUGGGUAGCAAACAGGAUUAGAUACCCUGGUAGUCCAUGCCGUAAACGGUGGGCACUAGGUGUGGGUUUCUAUUAACGAAAUCCGCGCCGUCGCUAACGCAUUAAGUGCCCCGCCUGGGGAGUACGGUCGCAAGACUAAAACUCAAAGGAAUUGACGGCUGAGACCGNGCGACGACGACGACGAGGGAGGUAG
rnacentral:rRNA from 1 species